rnacentral:lncRNA from 1 species
GCUGUCGCCUUGCUCGUAAGUUCAUCUCUAGUCCUUGCUUGCCUGUUAAACUCACAUAACAAUGUCUCUCUUCUUUGGAUUAACAGUCACAAAACCAAGUCCAGGUCCCCUUCACCUUGCACGACAUUGACAGUGAACUUUGAUUCCGAUAUGCCAGAAGAACCGGUCGGCCACUAUCGAUGCACGUCUCAACCGGGCGUCGGGCACGUUGACACGGUGGAGAUAUCGCGGGACGAGUGUAGGAAGAAGAACUGGGCCGAGAUUAAAGUGAUCAAGGAACCGGACGAGGGAGGGACGGACAUAAAACACAUGCUUUCCAACAUCGAGGCCAACAUCAAUUACCUGCUGGAUUCGGAGAGGAAGAGGAGGUGGAGGGAGUCGCAGUUUAG